CUUACAGCCUCCCUCCUUAGCCCUGCCCACCGAAAGUCCAGCCCCUUCUUUUUCCGGAGCCCCGCCCCUCGGCCCCUUUCCGACUCAGGCCCUGCGGAUCUCGCCCUUCCUCCAACUCCUCUCCAUAUCUCGCGAGAAGUGAGCGCGCCUGGCCGGACGAGAGAAAAGUAUCUGCUCCGCUUAGGGGGGAAAGAAGGAGCUGGAGACAGAUUGUGGGACCGAGCGCGGGCGGGCGGGAGGCGACGGAGCUACCAGCGGCUCCGCUCUGCUAUAUGAAAUAUGGGAGACGACAGACCGUUUGUGUGCAAUGCCCCGGGCUGUGGACAGAGAUUUACAAACGAGGACCACCUGGCAGUUCAUAAACACAAGCAUGAGAUGACAUUGAAAUUUGGCCCAGCCCGAACUGACUCAGUCAUCAUUGCAGAUCAAACUCCUACUCCGACUAGAUUCCUGAAGAACUGUGAAGAGGUGGGGCUCUUCAAUGAACUAGCUAGCUCCUUUGAACAUGAAUUCAAGAAAGCUGCAGAUGAGGAUGAAAAAAAGGCUGCUUCUGGGCCCCUUGACAUGUCUCUGCCUUCUACACCAGACAUCAAAAUCAAAGAAGAAGAGCCAGUGGAGGUAGACUCAUCCCCACCUGACAGUCCUGCCUCUAGCCCCUGCUCCCCACCACUCAGGGAGAAGGAUGUUGCCCCAAAGCCUGUUGUGAUCUCUACGCCCACACCUACCAUCGUACGCCCUGGCUCCCUGCCUCUCCACUUGGGCUAUGAUCCACUUCACCCAACCCUUCCUUCCCCAACCUCCGUCAUCACACAGGCUCCACCAUCCAACAGGCAACUGGGGUCUCCCACUGGCUCCCUCCCUCUCGUCAUGCAUCUUGCUAAUGGACAGACCAUGCCUGUGCUGCCAGGGCCUCCGGUACAGAUGCCUUCUGUUAUAUCGCUGGCCAGACCUGUGUCUAUGGUGCCCAACAUUCCUGGUAUCCCUGGCCCACCAGUUAACAGCAGUGGUUCCAUUUCUCCCUCUGGCCACCCUAUGCCAUCAGAAGCCAAGAUGAGACUAAAAGCUACCCUAACCCACCAAGUCUCCUCAAUCAACGGUGGCUGUGGAAUGGUGGUGGGGACUGCCAGCACCAUGGUGACAGCCCGUCCAGAGCAAAGCCAGAUCCUCGUCCAGCACCCUGACGCCCCAUCCCCUGCCCAGCCACAGGUCUCACCAGCCCAACCCACUCCUAGUACUGGAGGGCGACGUCGGCGCACGGUGGAUGAAGAUCCAGAUGAGCGGCGGCAGCGCUUUCUGGAGCGCAACCGGGCCGCAGCCUCGCGCUGCCGUCAAAAGCGGAAGCUGUGGGUGUCCUCCCUAGAGAAGAAGGCUGAGGAACUCACGUCUCAGAACAUUCAGCUGAGUAAUGAAGUCACAUUACUACGCAAUGAGGUGGCUCAAUUGAAACAGCUGCUGUUAGCUCAUAAAGACUGCCCAGUCACAGCACUACAGAAAAAGACCCAAGGCUAUUUAGAAAGCCCCAAGGAAAGCUCAGAGCCAACGGGUUCUCCAGCCCCUGUGAUUCAGCACAGCUCAGCAACAGCCCCGAGCAAUGGCCUCAGCGUUCGCUCUGCAGCUGAAGCUGUGGCCACCUCAGUCCUCACUCAGAUGGCCAGCCAAAGGACAGAACUGAGCAUGCCCAUACAGUCGCAUGUGAUCAUGACCCCACAGUCUCAGUCUGCGGGCAGAUGAUGCCUCCCCUGGUGGAGAGGUCCCCAGCCAGAGCUCGCCCGCCCGAGAGCCAAGAGAGAUGUCAUCUUAUCCUCUCCCAUCUGCCUUGGACAUGGCAGUAUGGGGGGGAAAUUGUGUGUUGUGAGUAAUGGUCAGAUGUGGGGCUUUUCUCACAUGGUCAUUUACGUUGACACCUGUACUAGGAGCCUCCAAGCCCCAGAGCCACAUAGAUCAUACCCCAAGGGGGAAGUUUCUGAUGUACCCACAGCCAAAGGCCUUUCCCGAUGGUCCGAACAAUCAUCCCUGCCCAUGCACGUGUACCUGUCUCUUUUAACACUAACCCUUGUACUUCUAGGUUUCGGUUUCUCAGUUCCCUCUCUUUCCACCAAGCCAUGGCUAUUACCUUCUUGAUUCUUAGCAGCAUGCCACUUCCUACUAGGUAGAGGGAGGCUAGAGUUGAUGGCAUAUCAAUGGCUGACCCAUCCCUAGCCACCCCAUGGACUCAGGACUUUGUCUCCCAGUAGCUGCUUAUUUAUGCCUUUUUCCCCCUCCGUAAAUUCUAGUUAAAACAUUCACUUAUGGAGAAUGUAAGGUUACCUUUGAUGUAUGAAGUAGCAGUAUUUCCCAGCUCUUCCAUAAACCUUAGUCCUCCCUACUUGCCACCAAAACAAAAACAGAGAAAUGAAACCUCAAACGGUCUAGUCCUUUCUCAUUUAUUUCCAGAGCUAUUUGGGUACCUCAUUUUAUGUCUUGAGUUUUCCCAGUCUAGUGGUGGGGUCUUUUCCACCUCCCACUAAGCCUUGGCAACCUCAUCUUGUGGCCUUAUUAGAUAGUGCUUGGUAGUGAAAAGGGAAAGAGCCCAGGAUCUGACUGGCUGGUUCCCUUCCCAUCCCCCACUCCAUCCUCCUUCAGUUCUAAUCAUCAGGACAGGCAGGAACAAUGUAGUUUAAAGCUUGUUCCAUCAAGUUACUAGAUUGAUUCUUUUAUGUUUUACAAGAGUUUACUAGCCAAAGCAUACAGAUUGCUUUUGGUCAUCUUUCCACUCCUGCCUCUCCCUCUUCGUACCCCUGCCUGCAUUCCUGCCUCUGUCUCUCUUCUAUAAUUAGUUCUGAUGCAACCCUCUGGAAGCUGUCCUGUAGGGGAUUCUUGUGCUCCCUCACCUCCCCUCGCCCCCCAUCUCUCAGUCUCACACAUCUGUCUUCUUUUCUGAGUGAGGGUCUGAUAUUCACAACUGGUCCUCACUGGAUCUGCCUUCGCUCUCUUUCACUAGGCUCCAAGCCUAGCCACUAGGUCUCUCUGGUUCUGUAGCGUUUCUUUAGCUCUUUUCUUCUCUCUGCCCCCUGGAUGCAAUGCUUCUCCAUAGUCUACGCCCCAGGACCCUGAGGCAUCAUAGCCGAGGUCCUGAGUGGGUUUUCUUGAGUAUACGUUAGGGUGGGGGGAGGCACGGGAAGGGAAGGUGGAGCACUGAUGUCAGCAGAAGAGCCCUGCUCGUUGAAGAGUCUGACCUGCCUGGGAAAUUGGUGACUGUUGCUCUCAGCCAUUCUUACUUUGAAAAGUUGUGUUGCAGGGGGGGAAAUUCAUCCCUCCUGUCCCUCUUUCUUCCCCAUUCAGACUCCUCAUCUUCCUUUGGCUCUGAACUAUGCAAUUUCUACCAAGGCCAUAGGAAGCAGUCCAAAGCCAGAGGCCUGUGGAUAGAUAGGUCAGCUUUAAUAGCCCUUCAGUAUGAAGCCCUUCCAAUUGUCCCAGAGCCACUUUCUGCCAUCUGCCCAAGCCAAUAAUGUCCUUUUCUCUCUCUCUCCUACCUCCAUCUUAUACAUGCAUACAGAGUGACUGCCAGCUUCCUUUCUUAUUUUAUCUUCCAAAAUUGGCUAUCGUAGAGGAAUGAGGAAAUGUUCUAAGCUACGAGAUUCCCAUCUCCUCAGACUGAUAAACUGGUGAGCCAGUUAGAGGACAUGUUCUACUGCAUUUGUUUUUAAUUUCCCCUCCUGCUUUUCAGAGCUGGUGUUGAAGAAGCCACACCUGGUGAAGAGAAAGGAGAGAAAACAUGGUUUUCUCAUCCUCCCCCACCCAGGACCCAACAGGAACAGCCCCUGAGGUGACUCAGACUAGCAAAUGGCACGGCAGAUGGUCAGGAUGCAGGUUACCACCUCCAGGGACUCCACUUGCCUUUAAAACUUCACAGCCAUAACUUGUGCUCAGGACUUUUCCUUUAGAUGGCUGCUCCCUGGGAUUUUCUCCUGCCUUAGUUGUGUUUCAUUUUUUGUUAUCUUUAUUUCCCACUUGUAGCCUUGCCCUAAAGCUUGACUGCGUUUAUGGCUCCUAAGGAGCCUUCAUAAGACCCUUGACUGUUUUUCUUCCCCCUUCAGUCAUGUGUUUUUCAGUUUGUCGCUGCACACAGGCCCUGCCUCACUGCUUGGCCUUGGAGGAAGUUUGAGUCCUGCCAGUCUGUCCCUGUGUAGGAUGGCUAAUUUAUGUAGAGGGUCUUAUUUAGUUUCUUAAUCCCCAUGUCUAAUUCUCUUGAGUCCUUAUUUCAUUUUCAUCAGUGGGAAGUUAGUACUGGGGACCUAACCGAGAGGCAUUGGCAGAACCUUAGUAGUAAAGCAGCAGUGAAAUGAGGAAGGAACAACGACAGGACCUCCCCCACCCCAGACAGCUCUUCAGUUGGUCCUUAGUCUCACUAAGAAGGCAGAGCGAUUGCUUGCCCUGAAGUCUCUCCUGUAGUCAAGGGGAAUGACAUUUACCUUGUUACUGCAGCCAGUUGUGUGGCCACUCUCCCCUGCUCCUUGCCCUCCAGACUCCUUUGGACCAGAACAUCAUGGAGGGUGUCACUUAGCUCUUUUUAAGGAACAUGGCCUUUCUAGGGGCCUAAGGGAAGACACUUUCUAAAAGGGACUGGGAAUGUGGAUGCCUUAGGACUCUUCUAAGUGAACACAGGACUCAGGCCUCCCACUUCACUCCAAGGACACAGCAGCUAGAGACCCAAGGCCAUAGAGAAAGGGGCCAGAGCCAGGUCUUCUGGUCCACAGACUUAAUGCCCCAUUGUCUUAGUAUAUGUGCUGCCGAAGCGGGCACUGCCCCAUUGUCUUAAAAGAAAGCUUGCUUAGAGUUGAAGAGUCUGAAAGCCUCCCACACUAUGAGAAAGGACUAGAAAGAGUACAGCCUCCUUUACUUCAUCUUUCCCUGUUGGCCGUACACCCAAAUCUGGCUUCCUUCGGCCUCUGCUCCUCUCCUUGGCCUGAAGUCCUAGACUGUGUACACUCUCGGUGGCAGUAAAAGAGGAGAUGGCCUAACUGAACCUCAUUUUGCUGCCUUCCCUGUGCCUGUUCCGUGGUUCCAGUUCCUUUGCUGACUUACUGCCCUCCAGCACCACCCAUUCUGGUAGACAGGGUGCUUAACCCUAACCACGCCCCAUCUACAGCCUGAACCACCAAGUAGACACCAAAAUAUUCCUCCUCUGGUUCCUAAGUCCCCCGUUUGCUCACACUGAGAGGCUCCUUUAAAGGUGCUAGCCCUAAGACAGCUCUUCCCCCCAAAGUUCCCUUUUCUUUCCUUCCCAUCCCCAAAUCAUUAUUUUUCAUUAAUAUUGUACAUUGUAUACACAGGAAGGAAAUGUACACUUUUUUUUUUUAAUGUCAUAACCAGUCUGUUUAGAAUCCAGUCCUCCUAGCUGUAUCACAUAUGCCUUUGUUGAUAUGCUCUUUCUGCUUUCUUUAGACUUUUGUUUGACUGGGGCGGAGGGAAGAGCAGGACAGGUGAGGAUCCUAAGGCAGAUUAGAGGCCCCCCAUCCUACUUCAGCCUCCCACAACCCUAAUCAUUCCCUUCAUAGUACAGACUGAUUUCUGUUUCUGUUUGCACACAUGCAAGUGCACACAGACAUAAAUCCUCACUAUCCCAGGGUGGUGACCCAGCAGGGGUGAGUGUAGGUGGUUGCUAGCCAACAUUCCCACCCUCCAUACCAGUUCAUUCGUGUGUCUUUGGGGUAAAGUUCUUCCCUGGAAUGAGAAAAGGCUGGGGAGAGUAGGGCAGCUUAAGGCAGCUUACAUCCUCUGUAGAUGCAGGUUUGUAUUGUAGGUGCUAGGGUUUCUCUUUUUAAUGGGGGCUGGUAGCACAGAGCUAUCUCAUCAGCGUUAACUACUGGUGAGUGAGGAUUUCGCUGUAAGAAAUGGCUUUGAGCACUAGUUUCAUUGACUUUCCCUUAGGGCAGUGGUUCUCAGAAUGUAGUCCAGGACCAGCAGGACCAUCAUCUGGGAACUUGUUAGAAAUGCACAUUCAGGCCCCAUCCCAGACAUACUGAAUCAGAAACUCGGGAUGGGCUCUAACAAGCACUCAACGUGAUUCUAACACACACUAAAGUUUGAGAACCAUUGCCUUAGGGGCAAGCUGGGAGAUUCUUACAGGGUAUCAAGGAUAUUUUAAGUACCAUCCUCUGCCUUAGCACUAGCAUGUUUUUCCAUUUCCUCCAGUCCCUCCCUCCACUCCCAUUAAAACAACAACAAUGUCACUCAUCUCAAAAUCUAGGUUUGUCUUCCUCUGCUUACUCCUAAAACCUGCCCUGCGUGGGUCUGGACAGGAGUUGUCCCAUAUCCCCUUGCAGACUGGUCACUCCACGUUCUUUGUUACAGGAAGGACCGGCUGUCCUGUUCUCCCACUCACCCCGCCCCCAACACACACCUUUCAGGCAGGGAGAUGAGCCUUCAGCCCCAACAGUGGAGGCUACAGCCUCCUGACAUGGUAUCUGUUGAAAAGCUGUGUGUGCCUAUGGUUAUAUCUCUGUUCAUCUGUAUAUCUUGACAUGUAGCAACACCUCUCCAUGUCAUCAAGGAACUUGACUCUGGGUCUGGGUUUCCCCAGUCCCCAGUGGUGGACUUUGACAGGUGGGAGGAUGCAGUGCUACAGGCUGUUUUGUUAUGCAACUGUCUUCUCCCUUCCCCUCCACGCACUUCAGCAUGAUCCCUGUGAGCAGGCUCACAGUCUCCUGGGACGGGGCUGAGGCAGAGGCUUCGCUCUCUUCUCCCUGACCGUCCCUCCUCCUUCCCCCUUGCCACAUAGCAGUUAUCCCCCAGCCAUGCCUUCUCCCCCCUCCCUUGCCCUGACAUAUAUUGUGCCUUAUUUAUGCUGCAAAUAUAACAUUAAACUAUCAAGAGAAGCACUGUUCCGUCUGAUGUUUCAAUACUCUGAUCUACAAGUCCCAUUGUCCAUUCUUUCUGGGAAUUCAUUGGGCUUUCAUGUCUGCGAUCUUCACUCUCCCAUUUCUUAGGACAGAAACAGCUGGCAUUCUUAUCCCUCCUUUUUAUGCAGGGGAAGACACAGCCUAGGGGAGGUGGGUGGUUUGUAUAAAUUACGUAACACAACAGAAGGCUCAGAUCUGUGCACUGCCCUUAGGGACGAGGGCCCUUGGCAUCAUGGGAGCCGUCACUAGAGAACUUGUGUGUUUUGCGUGAAUGGGGCUUGGAAGGCGGUGGAAGGCAAGUGGCCUCUUAACCUUUCAGUGUUAUGUCCCCCACCCCCGCAAUUAAAAAAUAAUAAGCCCUACCCUCAAGAAGUUUCCAGCAUGCCUGGGGAGUGCACUUAGACGCAGACAGAAGAAGUGCUCUAUGAUUCUAUGAGUUCUGUGUGGGGGGGGAGGAGGGGAGUCUGGAAAUGAGAGGUGGAGUUUAUUUAGAAACAGGCAAGAUAGUUUACAAGAAAAAAACAGGUAGUGCUCAGGAACUAUGGGGAGGUGUGGGGCAGUCACUACUAAUUCCUUGCAUCUGUGUCUUCCUUGAUACCACAGGUGAGGAGGGUGACCAGGCUAAAGAACUUGACCAGGAGAUAGCUGGGUACCUCUGAGGGGUUUCCAGUAGGAGAGAGGAGAUGUACAUGCUGUUGUGGCUGGUGUUCGGUGUAACUGACACAGACAGGGAGCGCCAGUCUCCCCUGCGGAGCGGGAAAGGCAGUGGUGGUCUUCAUGGUGGUCAGAAGCACGUGGGAGUCCAGAGAGUAGUAAAGGAAGUUGCUGAAAGCCAAGUACCGAAACCAAGAUUGAGAGGUUUUGGAGGUGGGGAUGAGACUGAAGGGAGGACAGUUUCCCAAGUUAAAAGAAUUAACCCAUUCCAACUUCUAGCCAAAGGAGAGACCCAUCACCUCCAUCCAGGACACGGGAAGCAGCUAGACCAGCCCCUUUCUGAAUGCAGCCUCAGCUCAGAUCCACUUGUAACUGGCGAUCAGAGAAAUCACAGAGGGAGCAGUUACCUCAUGAUACUGAUGAUGACCCGAGGUUUAGCUUGAGACACUUGCCCAAGGCACACAGCGAAGUGCAAGAGCUGGAUUAGAACGGCUCUGACCCUGGAACGGCUCUGCAGCACCCCAUCUACCCUCACUCCUUGUUCCUCUGAACUUGGUCAGAUAAGAAUGGACAAGGACCUUGAUACAGCGCAGGACCCAUUUCCCACAGAAGAACCAUCUCCUCGUGGACUUGAUGCUCCCAUGUAAGAAGUGGUGAAACUACAAGAUGUAAUGAUGAUGAAUGUCAGGUUCUAUGCUUGGGACCAGCGGUGAGACAAAGCUUACAAAAAGGUUCACCCUAGCUUAGGCUGCAUUGAUAGACGUGAGUAUCAAAACCUGAUCUAACCUACCUAUCCUAAGUGUAAGUUGGUUUCUAGAUGCCCCACUUUAAAGAAGGGGGAACGCUUCCCCUUGAACAAAGAAAGACGAAAGAAAGAAGGAAGGAAGAAUGAAAUCUGUCCUCAAACAUGGGAAAGGCUUGUAACAUGAAAGAUGAGAAGUGUUCUCUGAGAGUGAGGGAAACCAGGACCCCUGGUGGAGGCCACAGGGAGAUGAAAGCCAGCUCCUUGCAAGGAUGAUUCUGUCUGGACUGAGGAGAUAGCAAGUUCCCCAGGACCCAGGAGAAUCACAGCUAACGUUGUGAGGAAGCCUGCUCUAUGCCAGGUCCUGUGCUGCAUGGGUUACAAAAAGUAUCUCAAAUAAUGCUCACCGUAGGAAGUGGUUCCUUUUAACGUUGCCAUGUUUUAGGUGAAGAAACUUCUUACAGAGAGCUAAGCAUCUUGUCGAAGUCUGAUUCACAGGCCCUUUAUGUCAUGGCACCUCUGCGGCAUCAAGAGCCACACUGGUGGGACUGCUGAGGAAGGGACUCUAGGAUCAGAAGGGAAACUGUACCAGAUGACUUGGAAGGAACGCUUCCUGAGAGGCAAUGACUGAUUUUUCCUAAGGUGGCAUUCUAGGCACCUGCCCCAGUAGGUCAGAGCCAGAGCCAGGCAGAGGCUGGAGUGACUAGAGGGAGGUGGGCACCCCAGUAUCCUGCCCCUGCCUUUCUGGGACUCGGUGGGGUCAGGGCCUGAGGACCUCCAGCCACCCUACCCUUCAACAAACUCUGUUCCAGAAAAAGGAAAUGGCCGGGCCUGACAAUGCAGAGCUGUGACCACAGGGUGGCAGCAGUGCUUCAGCUGCAGAGCACUGCUCCCUAGGCUGAAGUGAGGCAGGUCCUCAACAGUGCGAGUGAAGAUGGGGGUCUGUCUACAGACAUCUGAAGCAAUCUCCACUUUCUGGGGGCUCUGAAACCUUUUAGUCUCCUGUAUCUCACUUUUCUAUCCACAGGCAAAUCUCAGAGUAGUGAUUCCAUUUUUGAUCCUCCAACAGGCACGUCCAUACCCGUGGGUGUGAAUGGGCUGCGUGGCCCUUCCUGCAGCCUCUCCAGUCACCAGACUGGGUCAUCCUGGCUGACUCUGACCCUGGCUUCCCUCCUUCCUUCCUAGGACAUAAUGCCUAGCCGGACAGGACUGUCUCUAUGCUUUUAUUCUACAAGUUAGGAAAGAGGAGGUGAUCAGUUGUUGCUCUCCAACCUGUUGAGGGAUUGGGAGUUCUUGAAGGUCCCCCAGGGCCUGGCUCUGACAAAGCAUCUGCAAUUAAUGAUGCUUCUUGAGCUCUGGAGACAGGAUUUAUGCAUCUAAUAAAGUCUAUAACUCCAGGCUUAGGGGCUGGGGCCGGAGGCUGAGAGCUGGAAGUCCCACGGGGGCCAGAGGAAAGCGGGGCGGGGGGGGGGGGGCGGUCCCAGACGGCUCUUCAUGGAGCUGUGCAUUUCCACUGCCUGCUCUAGAUUCCCCCUCAGGCUGCUGUCGGGGGUGAGGAACGGGGACAGCAGGUAUAAGAGGUGGGUGUGGCCAAAGGAAGGCAGAUGGCAGCAUGGACUCCAGACGGGCAGCAGUGCUGCUGCUGCUGUUAGUAACAGACUGGGGCCGCGCUGAAGGACCAGGGGACCGGGAUGAAGGAGACCAGAGCUUCACGGUAAGUCAGCAUGCCCACCCCCUUGUCACCA